rnacentral:tRNA from 1 species
GGUUCCACAGAGUAAUGGUUAGCACGUCUGCUUUACAUGCAGAAGAUCCUGGGUUUGAGACCCAGCAGAGCCA